rnacentral:rRNA from 1 species
CGGACAGUGUCUGGUGGGUAGUUUGACUGGGGCGGUCUCCUCCUAAAGAGUAACGGAGGAGCACGAAGGUUGGCUAAUCCUGGUCGGACAUCAGGAGGUUAGUGCAAUGGCAUAAGCCAGCUUGACUGCGAGCGUGACGGCGCGAGCAGGUGCGAAAGCAGGUCAUAGUGAUCCGGUGGUUCUGAAUGGAAGGGCCAUCGCUCAACGGAUAAAAGGUACUCCGGGGAUAACAGGCUGAUACCGCCCAAGAGUUCAUAUCGACGGCGGUGUUUGGCACCUCGAUGUCGGCUCAUCACAUCCUGGGGCUGAAGUAGGUCCCAAGGGUAUGGCUGUUCGCCAUUUAAAGUGGUACGCGAGCUGGGUUUAGAACGUCGUGAGACAGUUCGGUCCCUAUCUGCCGUGGGCGCUGGAGAACUGAGGGGGGCUGCUCCUAGUACGAGAGGACCGGAGUGGACGCAUCACUGGUGUUCGGGUUGUCAUGCCAAUGGCACUGCCCGGUAGCUAAAUGCGGAAGAGAUAAGUGCUGAAAGCAUCUAAGCACGAAACUUGCCCCGAGAUGAGUUCUCCCUGACUCCUUGAGAGUCCUGAAGGAACGUUGAAGACGACGACGUUGAUAGGCCGGGUGUGUAAGCGCAGCGAUGCGUUGAGCUAACCGGUACUAAUGAACCGUGAG